GUUGCUACUAAAAAUAAAAAUGUUAGCAUGCUAGACAGGAUUGCUGUAAAGAAAAUACUAUUAAACUGAUUGCAACCAUGGAUAGAAAAUAAUGACAAAUAAUAAUGAUGAUGCUUCCAUGACAGUGGCCUUACUUAAAGUGCCCUCUCUGACAAGAAGACUUGACAUUUAGUGUGACAGAAAUUCCUCAAACAGUACUGGAUUACAAUAACACACCAAUUGUAACAAGCCCUCAAUAAUGUCAUGCCCUGAGGAAAUCUGGGGAAGAACCUUUAUCCUAAGCAUUUCUAUGACUAAUUCGGUGUCAUUUUUUGGUACAUGUCUUUACAGUUAAAUUUGUAGAAUCUUCAUUAAAACACAGUAAUACUGUCAAGUCAAGGAUUUUUAGUCACAACUCUAUUUGCCAUUUCAUGUCACCUUACACAUUCAUUGUUCCUUCUCUGCAAAUAAUUUUAUUCCAUUUUCUUUUCUUUCAUUGUGCAUUCUAAAAUAACAUUAUGCGUUAUGAGAUCUGAAUAAAAACAUUCAAAUAUUUCUCAUAAUUAUUUUUCUUCCAAAUUGGAUCUUUUCAAGUUCAUUUUUUCAGGUUUUAUUUUAAGGGACAUAACAGUGACUUGUGUAUUCUGUUUGUUUAGAGCCUGAAGUGAUAAUAUGGUACUGAACUGUGAAAGACAACUUUGAGGUUAUACUCAUUUGAUCCAGGCUACAAGAAAAGCCAAAGAAUACUCCUUGCCUUGGGUGGAGAGAUGGACAUCUUUUAUGCUCCCUGAUUGGGCAGCAAAGAAAGGAGUCACUGUCUCUCUCAGAGUGCUGAUUGCAGGUGACAUCUUUUCUCUUUCUCCUCACUGUCUGAAUGAGGGGACUUCUGGGUAAACAUGGCAGCAAUCUAGAUGCCAGACUCUUCCUCUCCUUAGCACCUACUGAUACAAACUACCUCAGAAGACAAAAAAAAAACGAAAAACAAAAACAUAAAUUCCUAUGAAAUGAAGGGACUCUACAGUAAGGAACAACAUUGAAGAAAAAUUCAAGAGGUAAAAAAAAAAUUGCUUCAAUUUUAAUCAUAAAGUUCAACAUACAGCUUCAGAUGUCCAAUUAAAUAUUAGGAUUUUGGAAGGAAAUCUUGCAUAAUAUUUUGUAUCUGCAUUUCAUUUUUUCAUUGUCUUGAUGUACUGUUUUACAUGUUUAGUUUGAGGAGGAAAUACAUCAUUAUUUUAUAGGCAGUUUUGUUUUCUACAUUCUGUAAUGUAGGUUAAUAAGUUAUCCAACAUUUUUAACUCAUCAUAGUACUUCUAUUUUAGUGAAACUUUUCCUUUUUGAAAAUAUCAUUCUGCUCUUCUACUGUAACCUGAAAAAAAGUGUUCCCUUUUCCAAUAUGCUUGCUGGGCUAGGAUAUUUUUAUAUGCCUCAUUCCUAUCCAUGUGCAUUUACCACAGCAAAUCCUUUUCAAAAAUCUUCCCAAUAACCUAACUAGGGGAGUAAAAUCUAGCUUUGGCCCUGAAUAAAGAGAUACAGAAGAGGUCCUUUUAUUUUCUU
rnacentral:lncRNA from 1 species